UACGGGGGGGGCAAGCGUUGUUCGGAAUUACUGGGCGUAAAGGGCGCGUAGGCGGCCUGCUAAGUCGGAUGUGAAAUCCCUCGGCUUAACCAAGGAAGUGCAUCCGAAACUGCAGAGCUUGAGUACUUAGGAGGAUCGCGGAAUUCCCGGUGUAGAGGUGAAAUUCGUAGAUAUCGGGAGGAACACCAGUGGCGAAGGCGGCGAUCUGGGAAGAUACUGACGCUGAGGUGCGAAAGCGUGGGGAGCAAACAGG
rnacentral:rRNA from 1 species